rnacentral:rRNA from 1 species
GUGUGCCUACGGGGGGCAGCAGUGAGGAAUAUUGGUCAAUGGACGAGAGUCUGAACCAGCCAAGUAGCGUGAAGGAUGACUGCCCUAUGGGUUGUAAACUUCUUUUAUAUGGGAAUAAAGUGAGCCACGUGUGGCUUUUUGUAUGUACCAUACGAAUAAGGAUCGGCUAACUCCGUGCCAGCAGCCGCGGUAAUACGGAGGAUCCGAGCGUUAUCCGGAUUUAUUGGGUUUAAAGGGAGCGUAGGCGGAUUAUUAAGUCAGUGGUGAAAGUUUGCGGCUCAACCGUAACAUUGCAGUUGAUACUG